rnacentral:lncRNA from 1 species
AAUCUGACUGUGACCAGUCAUAUCCAAUUCGCUCUGGGAAGAGCUGCUUCCAACGGAGUAGUAGAAAAUUGAAGAAUCGGCAUCUGAUUCCUGCAAUAACGUAUUUAUGCCGACUACGUGGUACGCUACUUCAUGGUUCGACUUACCUUUACAACUUCAAUGGUGAGAUGAACUAAUAGUGAAGCAAAUUUCAUCUCUUCGCUGAAUUUAUUUUGCAAUGGCACACUUCUGAAACCUGACCUCAAACAACGAACCUGAAUAAAAACAACUUCCUUCUUCAAAGGCAAUUGAAGAUAUAAAACAAUUUUGUACCGGGUAGGUAGCCUGGCCGUUGAAAAUACCCUCUCCAAAUACACUUUCGUCGUGAACAACGAAUCGCAACAUGGCAAAAUCUGGAUUUUCUACCUCAAAUUCGCAGCAUUCAUCCCAUAUUGGAUUGAAGCCAUUGUUCUCUGAAAUAUAUAGAGUGCCAUCUUUCAAAAUCCUUGGAGCACCUGCCACUUCUGAUCUCUUUGAUGUCCCUGAACUCGACUGCAAAUUUCGACAGCCUUUAACUUGGAUCUCAACACUUGGCACUUCUGAAGCGUAGAAAGGCUUACACAAGACGUGGGUAUAAUAUGUGUUCGACCGUUCGCGGCUAUCUGAAAGUGGAAGUAAAAUCUACCAGCUAAUUCGAUAAAAUGCGAUAAAAAAGUUGCACUUCGCUGCGGUCAGCAUGCUCUGUAUUAAUCGGGUGAUGGUAAAAAAACGAUGUGCGCUUACUAUCCAGUACCGAAGCCAUUCUUUUUCAGCGGGUGAGUUGUUUGUCGAUAAACAUAUUGAAUAAUCUAGGGAAUUUACUUCUUUACUUCCUGAAGCGUUGACUGAAGAAUGUAAAGAAAGUUGCCCCAAUGGGCUUUGAUGUGACAACCAAAAAUCGUCGUGCGCUUACGCUCCCUGAGAUUUUCCAAUGAUAGAGUUGAGAACUUAUUGCAGAACAUCAGAGAGUUACCGAUUUCGUCUUGAUGCUGGCUGCAUUCGCCUUCCGAGUAACACAGUCUUCGCAAUGGUAAGUCCAUAGACUUUUAUAAGUCUAUGGGUAAGCCCAAGCCAGUACUUGACCUGUGUGUACUUACCGGCUUGUCGGUGAUGCAAGAAAUUGAUACUGAGAACAAAUUUCGUCCAAUAUUCGUAGCAAAACAGUGAUUUAAUUAAAGUAUAGGUACCCGAGAGAAGAAUGUAUGGAUAGAUCAUAAAUAAUAAUAGAUCAGAUGUAAUAAUGAUGCGGAGACCAAAAAGUAUAUGAUAAAUAAAAGGAUAUAGGUAUGUAUGUGCGGUCCAUGUACGAUAUUGAUAAAUAUGACCCAUUUACGAUUGGUACGUGAUGCAUACUAUAAAUUUUAUAAUUUUCCAGGAGACAAA